rnacentral:rRNA from 1 species
UUCCGGUUGAUCCUGCCGGACCCGACUGCUAUUUGGGUGAGGAUAAGCCAUGCGAGUCGAAUGGGAUACCUAAAUUUCCCAUGGCAGACUGCUCAAUAACACAUGAUCAACUUACCCUAUAGAGAAAAAUAACCUCGGGAAACUGAGGAUAAUGUUUCAUAGUUGAAAAGGCUUGGAAAAGUUUUUCGACCAAAAGGAUAAGAAAAAUGGUUUUUAUCCGCUAUAGGAUAGGAUCGUGGUCGAUUAUGGUCGUUGGUGAGGUAAUGGCUCACCAAGCCGAUAAUCGAUAGGGGCCGUGAGAGCGGGAGCCCCGAGAUGGGUACUGAGACAACGACCCAGGUCUUACGAGACGCAGCAGGCGCGGAACCUCAGCAAUACACGAAAGUGUGACUGGGUUACCCAAAGUGUUCAAUUUUGAACUGUGGUAGGUGAGUAAUGUCCCCUACUAGAAAGGAGAGGGCAAGGCUGGUGCCAGCCGCCGCGGUAAAACCAGCUCUUCAAGUGGUCGGGAUAAUUAUUGGGCUUAAAGUGUCCGUAGCCGGUUUAGUAAGUUCCUGGUAAAAUCGGGUAGCUUAACUAUCUGCAUGCUAGGAAUACUGCUAUACUAGAGGGCGGGAGAGGUCUGAGGUACUACAGGGGUAGGGGUGAAAUCUUAUAAUCCUUGUAGGACCACCAGUGGCGAAGGCGUCAGACUGGAACGUGCCUGACGGUGAGGGACGAAAGCCAGGGGAGCGAACCGGAUUAGAUACCCGGGUAGUCCUGGCCGUAAACGAUGCAUACUANGUGAUGGCAUGGCCAUGAGCCGUGUCAGUGCCGUAGGGAAACCGUUAAGUGUGCCGCCUGGGAAGUACGGUCGCAAGGCUAAAACUUAAAGGAAUUGGCGGGGGAGCACCACAAGGGGUGAAGCCUGCGGUUCAAUUGGAUUCAACGCCGGGAAUCACUAGUGCGGC